AGGAUAAUAGUUAAAAUCUAACAUUUAACUUGCACUUAAAAAUUACUGAUAAAUCAGUUUAUCUUA
rnacentral:tRNA from 1 species